UAUUUCAGAUCAUGAAUUAAAAAUAAUUUAAUUACCUCAACAACUCACACAAAUCAGGGUAAGGCACUAUACAUUAGAUCAUGAAAUCAAAAUAGCCUAAGGAUUCAAGCACCUUAGUUACACACAUGGAGGUGAUGAAGACAUUGUACAAUAUGAAUGUACCAAAUGAAUGAAAUUGCCCACUUCUCUAUCAAAAUACCAAGUGUUAUACAGUACUUAUUGAAAUAAUCAUGGAACCAGAUGUAUGUAAGGAUAAAUGGUAAGAUUAUGCAAUACUUACCCAAGAGAUGGGUGUCUCCAUAAAUUCCAGCUUGGAAGCAAUGUUUUAGUGGACAAUUGUUCCAUAUAUAGGAGUCAUGGGUGCUGCCAGGGUACUUCACACAGUAGCUAGUGAUCAGAUGGUCUGUAUUAGCUACUACUUGCAGGUUGAGGGAGUGGUAUCCUUUUCUAUUAACAAAGAGGUGUUCACUUACAUAUGGUACCUUAAUGGGAAUGUGUGUCCCAUCAAUAGUACCAAUGACCCUUGGGAAUCCACUUAUUAUAUGAAACUUUUCUACUGCCCUAUUGACUUCUUUCCUAUUUCUUGGCAUUUUUAUCUCUGUUCUUGCCUUGUUAAAGAGCACACCUAUGAUUUGAUCAACCACAUGACUGACACUAGCUUGGGUCAAUCCUGUGGUGUCAUCAAUCAUGUUUUGGAAGGAUCCACUUACUAAAAAUUGCAAUGUCACCAAGACUUGUGUAUGUGUGGGAAUGGCAUGAGACUGUCUUGUUGGUCUUCCAAUAUAGGACUCUAGUUCCUCACACAGACUUAUGAUCCCAUUUCAAGGAAAUCUGUAAUCCUGCAACAAUUCCUCAACGCCAGUGUGUAGAGGAUCUAAUGGAUCUCUAUAUCUUCUCUCGCAUCGCAACUGAUGGGCAGCAAGAUCUAUUAUACACCAUUAGUUAUUUUGUAAUAUUCAUUAUGUAGCAUUAGUUUUGUAUGUAAUAGAAUCAAAUCCCAAUAAUGUCACAAAGGUGUUUUCUCUUUUGUUUGUACAUGCAUUUCCAGUGUUGAUAGUUUUAGGGAUUCAAAUGUUUAUUGUUCCCUGGCCAUGCCACUUCAACAAUAGAUGCAAAAGAGGUUUGUGCACUUUUAUUCCCAUGGAUAAACUGUCAUCGGACGAGAAUGGGUCAGGCACAGGCAGCAGCAUAUAAUCACCUCGUGACAGCCUUUUAUGUACCUUUCAGGACCGAGUAUUAAGAUAGUAUUUAAUGUAAUUAGAAGCCAGAAGCAUCCCACUCACCUUCACAAUGGAGGUUCCUAAGGUGCCUUUGCUCCAUUAAGGCAGCCUCCACCCAGCCUUUGAGUACAACAUCAACCUCAUCUUUAUUGCCAGUAUCAUGAGUGAACUUGAAGCACAUGGAUUUUCUAUCAUCAUGCCGCCAGAACUUCGAGCCAAGAGAAGUAUCAUCAUCACAAAACUGGACAAACUUAUUUAUGGAGAUCAGAGGAAGAGAUAGUAGAUGAAUUAAUUCUAUUCACAAACAACAAGACAGGAUGGCCAGAUGAUCUCACAACAGACAGCCUACCCAGAGGCAUUGAAAGUAAAUAUUUUAAAGGGAUUUGUAAUGUACUGGCCUUUUGAAAUUACAAGAAUAAUUAAAGAAAAUAAAUAAUAAAGCUCCAGGAGUAACCAAGAUAUCAGAAACUAUACUAGAGCAAUGCAUACCAACCACAAUUGCAAGACUUGUGGAUAUAUACAAUGCUUGACUCUCAGCAGGGGUACUUCCCUAAACCAUUCAAAACAACUGCAGUACACAUGAUCCCCAAACCUGAUAAAGACCCUAAAAACCUAAAGAAUUCAGACCAAUCUCUCUCCUUGAAGUGCCCAGGAAGAUCCUAGAAAAAAAUAAUAACUACCAGACUCAAUAGCCAUUUAAUACAGCAUGACAUCAUAAAGGACAGGCAGAAUGGCUUUUGUAAAAAUAAAAGUACGAAUACUGCUGUUGCAAUGAUUUAUGAAUCAAUAGCAAAAGUGCUAAGUAAUGAAAAUCAGAGUUACAUCAUUAUCAGAGAUGUAAGUAAAGCUUUUGAUAAGGUCUGGCAUGAUGGCCUAAAAUAUAAAAUUCUGCAACUGCAAAUUCCUCCUAUAACACACAAAAUACUCUGCUCGUUCUUAGACCAAUGAGAAGUUAACAUUACUAUCAACAAUGCAAAAAGUAAAGUCAUAAACCUGCAAAGUGGAGUUCCUCAAGGAAGUGUCUUGUCACUCUAUACACUAAUGACACCAAAUCUGGGUCCUGGAUGUUUCAAUAUUAUACAUGCAGAUGACAUAACACAAGUAAUAAUAACAGCAAGUAAGUAAAAAAAAUAUGAUUAAGCUACAAGCAGAAAGAGAAGUAGAACAUAUAAACAGAUUUAAAAAAAAUAGAAGAUCCAAACUUGUGAAGAGAAGUUCAAAGUAAUACCAAUUGCUCAAUAUAAGGUCAAAGACCUUACAAUAAUUGGAAAUAUAAUUAGAUGUAAAGAGGGGAAAAUACUAGGACUUAAACUAAAAAAACACCAGCCUACUUGCUUAUACACAAAAUAAAAUUAAUAAAACAAAGGCAAUAAUAGCUAAUUUGUGGCAGUUUAGAAACUUAACAAUAAAAUUAAAAACAAUGUUGAUAAAAAUUCUUGUAAUUCCAUUAUUGGAAUACCCAGCCAUUCCACUAAUAGCAGGAAGCAAGGCACAAAAAUCAAAUAUGCAAAGGAUAAUGAAUAAAGCAUUAAGAUUCAUUUUCUGCAGAAAUGAGGGAUUAGGAGGAAGAUAAAAGAAGAGCAAGUAAAAAGAAGAAAAAUAUAAAUAUAUUACAUAAAAACAGCAGCAUGGAUGGCCCAUGCACUGUUAUCUUCUACUUUCUUUCAUAUUUAUUCUUCAAGUAGCUUCCUCACUACUCUAUUCUACUUUCGUUCACCCCCACUUUCCUAUCAAUGCAACACAACGCAAUGCAAUGCAAUCCAACACAAAUCUAUUUCUAUAUCUCCUAGUCUGUAUCUAGCUUUUGUGUCCACAUAUAUACUUUGCACUAUGUUAACUAUCAUUAUACUCAACUCAACCUUUUCUAAGUCUCUAGCUAGCAUUUCUCUAUUCACUUUAUCAUAAGGUUUCUCUAUAUCUAUAAAAUCUAAGUACAAUUUACUACCAUCCUUCAUCUUUCUCUCAGUCAUUUCAUUCACCACAAACAUGUUAUCCUCUGCUUUCCUGUCCACCUGAAACCCAUUCUGUUCCUCACCUAACACUCUAGCUCUCUCAGUCCAUGUACACAAUCUCUCAUUCAACACUGUACCAAAGACUUUACAUACUGUGUUCACUAAUGCAAUCAGCCUAUAAUUUUUCAGCUCAUUCUUAUUCUUGUAUCCUCCCUUAUACAGCAGAAUCACCCUGCAUUCAUUCCACAUUCUUGGCACUCUCUCCUCCUCCCACACUUGGUUAAAUAACUCAAGUCAUCCUAUCAGUCACAACUUCCCCUCUAUUCUUGUACAUAACUCAGUCAUCCUAUCAAUCACAACUUCCCCUCCAUUUUUGUACAUCUUAUAAGGUAUCUCAUCUGGUCCUACUGCCUUCCCAUCUUUCUGCUUUUUCACACAUUUCUCCAUCUCCUUCCUGCUGAUUAUUUCAUUUAACUCAUCUGGAUCUUCCCUCUCCAGUGUCGCACAUCCUUCUCUUAUAUCAGGUACCUUGCCUACACCACCAAUCUCUUCCCAAAACUCUUUUAUUGCCCUUCUCAUUUCUUACUUAUCUGUCACAACUACUCCAUUCACCUUCAGGUUCUCCACAUUCUCACUUUCAGGCAUCCCCUCACCCCUCGGGAAUAUGCACCAUUCUCGGCCACCUUCAAUGCCUUUCUCUCUUAAGAACUGAAUCACACUUCUCCCACACCCAACUUUAGCAUUCAUUAUCUUUUGUUUCAUCACUCACUGCUGGCUCACAUAUGCUGUCCAUGGGUUCUGGUAAUCAUUUUCAGCCUCUUUACCCUCAUAUUUUCUUCUCAAUUGCCUGCACACCCUACUGAGUCUCUUUUUCCCUUCUUAGCAUUCCUAAUCUCAUCACUCCACCACAGCUUACAUGUAUGCUUUCUGGUAUUCGUUCUUAUGUACUCUAUCUGGCUGGCUGCUGCAUUCCUUACAUGAUCUACAAAUCUAUCAUUCAGUUCAUCCACACCAUUCAGGCUUCCAUCCUUCCAACUUCUCUCACUCAUGUCUACCUGGAAAUUCUCCCAUUUUACAUUUCUCAAUCUCCACUUUCUCUCCUUACCCUUUGCAUUCCUUCCCUCUCUUUCAUACAACUUACAUUUUAGCACCAGCAUGUUAUGGUUCGAGACAAUGUCAGUCAUUCCAUACUCAUUGAUCCACAUGCAGUCCACAAUCUCAUGCAUUUUUCCAUUCACUAGCAUAGUCAAUUGCAGACUCUUGAUUCCUAGCACACCAAGUCACUCAUCCUUCUGCCAGGAUCUCAUUCAAGUUUUCCACAUCCAUCUCAUUCACAAACUCAUCAAGCAUCUCAUUGUUCUUAUUUAUUUGCUCACCUAAGAUACCUGUGUGCAUUCAUGUCUCCCAUAAUCAUCAUUCUCUCUCCUGCAUUUAUUCUCUUACGAUCUUCCUCAAUAUACCAUACUUUGCUGCUCUCAUCCUAAACUGUCAUGUAAACCACAAUUACCACCAAUCUUUCAUACUUCCCAUUCUCACCUGUCCACUCUACCUUUAUUGCUAAAAUAUCCUCACUCAUGAACAGUUUCCUACAUCUAACUUUUCUGAAGUUCCUGUCCUUCCUAUACAAAAAGGCUACUCCUCCUCCUACUCUUUCCUGAACUUUCUGUUUUUUUUUUUUUCCAGUCAUCACAUACUCACUGCCAUCCAAUUUCACAUCAUCCUUCAAAUGUGUCUCAGUCAUUCUGACUACAUCAAAAUGCCAUUCAUUUAGUUCCUUACACACAUCCUCAAAUUUCUCAGUACCCCAUCCUCUUACAUUCACACAUCCAGAUAUGAUGCCUUUUCUUCCCUGGUUGUUGACUUUUCUUCCAUUCCUUGCAUCCUCAGUCAUUCUUCUUCACAUCAGGUCUACACAGCACACCAUCCGUGCCUUCACCCACUCUUGCAGUCUCACUCCCAUCCUUGCAUUGCCAUCUGCAUUAAGAUGAACUCCAUUCCUGGUGUAGAACCAAUUCUCAUCCAAGGUCUGGUCCAGGACUAGGAAGUUCACGUCCCUGCUAUUCUCAGCCAUCCACUUCAUCUUUAUCUUCAUUAUUUCUUCACACAGCCUCUCAUUUGUUGUUUUUCUCAGCCUCUUGUACUCCAUACUUUCUCAUGGUCAUCUCAGGAUUCCUACCACUGCUACAUAUCUCUUCUUCUCUGCAGACAUCACUGCAUUCAUCAUUUCUUUCACACUGGCAUCCACUCCAUUUUCCUGUAGCUGGUUUCCACCACCCUGGACAAACAGCAUGCCAUCUUCCAUUUUCUUGGUCUCUUGCUUGAUAGAAAUGGAUGAUGGUGCUGCUGGGAUUGUGUGGGGAGAUGAAUGAAAGGAUGAUUGAAGCUGUGAAGGAGUUCCUGGAGAAAAUGUGGUGUGCUAGGUGUAGGAAUUAGUGGUGUGAAAGGUGGUGUCUGUUUUCUCUUUGCCACUUUUCUUUUUCAUCUACAGGAAUUGCUGAUACAAAUGUCUGGCUCAGAAGUAAAUGUGGAGAAUGAUAAGAUAUGUGUGCUUUUUUAUACAAAUGAUGUAGUGCUUAUGAGUGAAUUGGCAAAUGAGCUCCAAAGUUUGCUAGAUGUUGUAGAUGGGUAUGGAAAAGACUUUGGAGUUAGGUUUAGCAGUGAGAAAAGUAAGGUAAUGAUUGUGAAUAGGUCAGAGGAUGAAAGUAAUGUAACAGGGAGAACUAGAGAGAAUGAGUUAAAACAGGUACAAGAAUACAGGUACUUAGGGAUGUGGAUGAGAAUAAAUAGGUGUGAAAAUGCAAAGAAUUUAAAGAUAAGCUUAUUGAAGCAAUGGUUAGGUUGAUUGGGAAGCAUAGCUAGAAUGAGAGUGAGUAAAUUUGACUUGCCGAGAGAAGUAUGGAAGAAUGUUGCUUUGCCGAGCAUAAUGUACGGUAUUUUUUAUUUUAUUAUUCUUUUUUUUUAUGUAGAAAAUACACUGGCCAACGGCAACAAAAAUCCAACAAAAAAAAUGCUCACUGAAAUGCCAGUCCCAUAAAAGGGUCAAGGCAGUAGUCAAAAAUUGAUGAAUAAGUGUCUUGAAACCUGCCUCUUGAAGGAAUUCAAGUCAUACAAAGGUGGAAAGUCAGAAGCAGGCAGGGAGUUCCAGAGUUUACCAGAGAAGGGGAUGAAUGAUUGAGAACACUGGUUAGCUCUUGCGUUAGAGAGGUGGACAGAAUAGGGGUGAGAGAAAGAAGAAAGUCUUGUGCAGCAAGACUGUGGAAGGAGGGGAGGCAUGCAGUUAGCAAGAUCAGAAGAGCAGUUAGCAUGAAAAUAGCGGUAGAAGACAGCUAGAGAUGCAACAUUGCGGUGGUGAGAGAGAGGCUGAAGACAGUCAGUUAGAAGAAAAGAGUUGAUGAGACGAAAAGCUUUUGAUUCCACCUUGUCUAGAAGAGCAGUGUGAAAAACUGGCAGAGACGUCUCAGAACACCUAACUUCAUAGAAGCUGUUUUAGCUAGAGAUGAGAUGUGAAGCUUCCAGUUCAGAUUAUAAGUAAAGGACAGACCGAGGAUGUUCAGUGUAGAAGAGGGGGACAGUUCAGUGUCAUUGAAGAAGAGGGGAUAGUUGUCUGGAAGGUUGUGUCGAGUUGAUACAUGGAGGAAUUGAGUUUUUGAGGCAUUGAACAAUACCAAGUUUGCUCUGCCCCAAUCAGAAAUUUUUAGAAAGAUCAGAAGUCAAGCGUUCUGUGGCUUCCCUGUGUGAAAUGUUUACCUCCUGAAGGGUUGGACAUCUAUGAAAAGACGUGGAAAAGUGCAGGGUGGUAUCAUCAGCGUAGGAGUGGAUAGGACAAGAAGUUUGGUUUAAAAGAUCAUUAAUGAAUAAUAAGAAGAGAGUGGGUGACAGGACAGAACCCUGAGGAACAAUGAACAUCUACCACAGCAGCAAUAGAACAGUCAGAAAGGACACUUGAGAUGAAGUUAAAGAGAGAAGGAUAGAAGCUGUAGGAGGGUAGUUUAGAAAUCAAAGCUUUGUGCCAGACUCUAUCAAAAGCUUUUGAUAUGUCUAAGGCAACAACAAAAGUUUCACCAAAAUCUCUAAAAGAGGAUGACCAAGACUCAGUAAGGAAAGCCAGAAUAUCACCAGUAGAGCAGCCUUGAUGGAACCCAUACUAGCAAUCAGAUAGAAGGCUGUGAAAUGAUAGAUGUUUAAGAAUCUUCCUGUUGAGGAUAGAUUCAGAAACUUUAGAUAGGCAGAAAAUUGAAGCAAUAGGACGGUAGUUUGAGGGAUUAGAACGGUCACCCUUUUUAGGAACAGUGUUACUGUAUGUAAAGCGUAUGUACCUCACAUCAUUAUUCCUCGGCAUUUAUAAGUGAAAUGUUCAAUAGUUUUCUAUUUGCAUGAAAACGUGUAAUAUGUGUAAGUAUCAGUAUUCAAUGCUAUAUUAAGCACCGAAGCCGAUGCUCACUUGUUAGUAGUGUGGGGUUAACCUGCUGGUCGCCUGCGGGCAUCACUCACGGCCAAGUUGCGCUCAGACAAAGACGGGCAGGAUGGUGACCAAGGUAAAUACUUUAAUUUUGUAGUAAAAACUGAUUGUCAUAGUGCCAAGUUAAUUGCAUGUAUUAUUAAUGAAUAUUGUAAUAUGUUGAAAGUGUUUAAUAUCAGUGUAUAAUGUUAUUUUGUAAGAAAUUGAGACCGAGAACUUGUUCGCAGUUCUUACGGUCAUGCCUACCUCAUCAAUAAACGUGUCAGGGAGAACUGCCUUUCCUCGACCCUACGAUGAUGGGUGUGAUCAGUAAAACAAAUCACCUGAGAGCCAAUUGAUGCCCAGCCGGUGCGGCUACAGUAAGAACUCGACGUACAAGCAAGAAAUUGGCUCCAUGUGAAACCGUAGCAAGAGUGAGUCACAGGACAAGGGGACGCUGACGUAAGCCUAUAGGUUGACCUCUGAGGCCCUGGGGUCAGCUCUACCCUUGACGACAACCACUCCCUUCUACCCGCUGUGCCUCGCCACCAUUUUGUAGAACCCAUGGUCACAGGCAAGAAAGUAUAAUAGUAUGUAUGUGCACUGAAUUGAGUAGCCUAAGUGAAAAUUACCCACAAUUAGCUAGUAUUAGAGUGGUAAUUUUAAUUCCUCUUUCAGUGUCUCAGUAUUGACACAAUUAAGUUGUUAGAUAUGUCUGAUACUGGGGAAAUUAAUGCCGUAGAUGGCCUUAGAGAAGGUGAGGGUGAGCAAGUGGACAGGGAUCAAACUUGUAAUGAAGAAGUUAGUGUCAGGGAGUGAGUGCUGACCGACAAAAGAAGAGAAUAUCAAGUCAGUGUAACCAAAGGAAGAGCAGAGUCCUGUAAGCAUAAAUGGAGCAGUGUUACCAGCAAAAUUAAGAAAGGAUUAAAAAUUGUAAUUAGCCCCUUUGAAUUAGAGCCCAUGUCAAGUGAAGUAAUAGAGGCAUUUCAUCAGUAUUAUGUGGAAUACACAAAACUAGUGGAACUAGAGCCAGAAAAGUCAGAGGAGCUAAAUGAAGAGCUGGAACACAAUCAACGAGUUCACCAUGAAGUAUUAGAAAGUAUAGAAUGUAAAAGAAAAGAGUUAAAGAAUGACAAAGGAUCAAUUUGUUCUAGCAAACGGUGUAGGCAUUCUAGAGUCUCAUCUACUUCAUCACGUUCAUCAGCACAAAGAAAGCAAGAAGCAGCAGCAAAGGUAGCCAGACUUAGAAAGGAAAUGGAAUAUCAUGAUAGUUUAGCAGAGGCAGAAGUUAGGUUAGCUAAGACAAAAGCAGAGGCAGAAGCAAUGUUCUCAAAGAAAAAGAAAGAGAGAGAUUUAGCAGUUGCUAGUGCAGAACUUAAUGCUCUUAGCUUAGUUGAAGAAGAAGUAAAAAUGCUUCCAGGUAAUGAUGAAAGUGUAGAGAAGCAAAGUUAUCUUCAACAAUACAUAGAGUCACAAAAUGAAAUGAAAGCACAAGCAAAUGCAAAUCAACAAAGUGACAAUGCCAUGCCUCACAAAUAUGUUACAUUCCAUGACCCACAGGAACCUUCUUCUUGCAAUAGAGAUAAUGAAUUGAUGACAAAUGAAGUACAUGGACAAAUAUUUAGUGAACCUCAGGUAAUAAAUCUCAACCCUACAGCUCAAAGUCUUGUA